rnacentral:rRNA from 1 species
GACGAACGCUGGCGGCGUGCUUAACACAUGCAAGUCGAACGGUAAGGCCCUUCGGGGUACACGAGUGGCGAACGGGUGAGUAACACGUGGGUGAUCUGCCCUGCACUUCGGGAUAAGCCUGGGAAACUGGGUCUAAUACCGGAUAGGACCACUGCCUGCAUGGGUGGUGGUGGAAAGCUUUUGCGGUGUGGGAUGGGCCCGCGGCCCAUAAGCUUGUUGGUGGGGUGAUGGCCUACCACGGCGACGACGGGUAGCCGGCCUGAGAGGGUGACCGGCCACACUGGGACUGAGAUAGGGCCCAGACUCCUACGGGAGGAAGCAGUGGGGAAUAUUGCACAGUGGGCGCAAGCCUGAUGCAGCGACGCCGCGUGAGGGAUGACGGCCUUCGGGUUGUAAACCUCUUUCAGCACCGACGAAGCGCAAGUGACGGUUGGUGCAGAAGAAGGACCGGCCAACUACGUGCCAGCCGCCGCGGUAA